GACGAACGCUGGCGGCGUGCUUAACACAUGCAAGUCGAACGGAAAGGCCCUGCUUUUGUGGGGUGCUCGAGUGGCGAAAGGGUGAGUAACACGUGAGUAACCUGCCCUUGACUUUGGGAUAACUUCAGGAAACUGGGGCUAAUACCGGAUAGGAGCUCCUGCUGCAUGGUGGGGGUUGGAAAGUUUCGGCGGUUGGGGAUGGACUCGCGGCUUAUCAGCUUGUUGGUGGGGUAGUGGCUUACCAAGGCUUUGACGGGUAGCCGGCCUGAGAGGGUGACCGGCCACAUUGGGACUGAGAUACGGCCCAGACUCCUACGGGAGGCAGCAGUGGGGAAUAUUGCACAAUGGGCGGAAGCCUGAUGCAGCAACGCCGCGUGCGGGAUGACGGCCUUCGGGUUGUAAACCGCUUUCGCCUGUGACGAAGCGUGAGUGACGGUAUGGGUAAAGAAGCACCGGCUAACUACGUG
rnacentral:rRNA from 1 species